rnacentral:rRNA from 1 species
UACGGAGGGGACUAGCGUUGUUCGGAAUUACUGGGCGUAAAGCGCACGUAGGCGGAUUUGUAAGUCAGGGGUGAAAUCCCGGGGCUCAACCUCGGAACUGCCUUUGAUACUGCAAAUCUCGAGUCCGGAAGAGGUGAGUGGAAUUCCUAGUGUAGAGGUGAAAUUCGUAGAUAUUAGGAAGAACACCAGUGGCGAAGGCGGCUCACUGGUCCGGUACUGACGCUGAGACGCGAAAGCGUGGGGAGCAAACAGG